GUGAACAACAGAGAACCAGAAGCUGAAAUCCCAUUAAAGUAAAAUGGUGAACGAAAAACUAAUACAUUUCUAGACCGUGGAACAACAACAGUCAGCCAUGAUGAAGAACAAGACCACAGUUGAUGAAUGUACGCAAAUAUUUAUUAGAGUAAGUGGUAUCAAAUGAACAGUUGCUAAAAGGAUCCCGAACGAAGGAUUUAACAUCGGGAUGUAUGAAUGUGCUGGGAUUAGAUGAACAAAAAGUUCCCACAUGAGUAGGUACAUGUCUAACAGCAAAUAUGUCAAGUGUUGCUGUUGAUCUGAGGACAGACACUUGGUUUUAAAGAUCUCUGCUGGAUUAAAGUUGGUUGCAAGAUGCAA